UACAAUAGGUCUACCCAUACAAAAACAAAAGAGUAAACCUAACAGUCAGUCCUAGAUACACCCACCCUCAAAAAGUAUACAAAAAUAAUCCAAAGAGCUGUCCACUAGGAUGAAGAGCCUCCGCUGAUCGCCAUCUCCCCCGGGCCACUAUCCUCCGUAGAGUCUGCCUCGGAUGCCGACAUGACUUCCUCAGGAGAAUCCACCUUCGGAAGUGGGUCCUCAUCACCCUCUAGAAAGUCAAGAGCAUCCACAGCAGGCUCGGGAAGUAGCUCCUCGGGAUCCUCCUCAGGGUCUUCCUCGGAUGACG
rnacentral:lncRNA from 1 species